rnacentral:rRNA from 1 species
GAAUCUACUUUUUCGUGGGGGAUAACGUAGGGAAACUUACGCUAAUACCGCAUACGACCUACGGGUGAAAGCAGGGGAUCUUCGGACCUUGCGCGAUUGAAUGAGCCGAUGUCGGAUUAGCUAGUUGGCGGGGUAAAGGCCCACCAAGGCGACGAUCCGUAGCUGGUCUGAGAGGAUGAUCAGCCACACUGGAACUGAGACACGGUCCAGACUCCUACGGGAGGCAGCAGUGGGGAAUAUUGGACAAUGGGCGCAAGCCUGAUCCAGCCAUACCGCGUGGGUGAAGAAGGCCUUCGGGUUGUAAAGCCCUUUUGUUGGGAAAGAAAUCCAGCUGGUUAAUACCCGGUUGGGAUGACGGUACCCAAAGAAUAAGCACCGGCUAACUUCGUGCCAGCAGCCGCGGUAAUACGAAGGGUGCAAGCGUUACUCGGAAUUACUGGGCGUAAAGCGUGCGUAGGUGGUCGUUUAAGUCCGUUGUGAAAGCCCUGGGCUCAACCUGGGAACUGCAGUGGAUACUGGGCGACUAGAGUGUGGUAGAGGGUAGCGGAAUUCCUGGUGUAUCAAUGAAAUGCGUAGAGAUCAGGAGGAACAUCCAUGGCGAAAGCAGCUACCUGGACCAACACUGACACU